rnacentral:piRNA from 1 species
UGAUGGAAGAUAUCAGAAUUAUUCAGGCUA